rnacentral:tRNA from 1 species
CGGGGUGUGGCUCAGUUGGUAGAGCGCUGCGUUUGGGACGCAGAGAUCGUCGGUUCGAGCCCGACCACCCCGA